rnacentral:rRNA from 1 species
GAUGAACGCUGGCGGCGUGCCUAAUACAUGCAAGUCGAGCGAACGGACGAGAAGCUUGCUUCUCUGAUGUUAGCGGCGGACGGGUGAGUAACACGUGGAUAACCUACCUAUAAGACUGGGAUAACUUCGGGAAACCGGAGCUAAUUCCGGAUAAUAUUUUGAACCGCAUGGUUCAAAAGUGAAAGACGGUCUUGCUGUCACUUAUAGAUGGAUCCGCGCUGCAUUAGCUAGUUGGUAAGGUAACGGCUUACCAAGGCAACGAUGCAUAGCCGACCUGAGAGGGGGAUAGGCCACCCUGGAGCGGGACCGGGGUCCAGGCUCCUACGGGAGGCAGCAGUAGGGAAUCUUACGCAACAGGCGGAAACAUGGCGGAGCAAGCGCGCGUCAGUGAUGGAGGUCUUCGGAUCGUAAAACCCUGUUACUGGGGAAAAACAUAUGUGGAAGUAACUGUGCACAUCUUGACGGUACCUAAUAAGAAAGCCACGGCUAACUACGUG